rnacentral:lncRNA from 1 species
UCGAUAUCAAAGUUUUAGAGUUAAAAGCGAAUCUUCAGGAUCAACUUUUUAAUCUCUUUCUCAAUGAACCGGACAGCGAAUUUCUUGCAAUUUUACGCGAAUCCCCUUUUAGGGAACAAGGCUUAAGGCCAGAAAUACUAGAGUAUAUAAUUCUGCAGUUAGACAGAGCCGGUCUAAGCGAUCCACAUCCCCGCGAUCCUGUAAUGAAGACAGUACUCGAAGAAUUUCUUCGGAGAAUGCUACUUCAACUACAGCAGCAAGGGCGAAAUAGCCCCGUCUAUCAUGACUUUCUCCGA